AUGGGACGGGGGAGGAUUUGGAAACUUUCUUGUCCAGCAAAGGUUAAAAUAUUUAUUUGGCAUAUGCUUCAUGGCACUCUUUCGUGCCAUGUUAAGCUAGCUAAUAGACAUGUGAAAGUCUCACCUGACUGUUGCUCAUCUGGGCCAGAAGACACAAAGCAUCUGUUGUUUCUAUGCGACAGAGCAAAAAAAGUCUGGAGAAGGCUAGCGAUAGACGAUAUUAUCGAUAGAGCUUGUAAAAAAGAUUAUGCGGGUAAGGCAGUCUUGGAAUAUUUACUUUCAUUGCCAAAUCAGGAACUAUGUAUUAUGGGCACUCGAAAUGUGCGUGGCAUGAUUACCAUAUCAGCAUGGUACUUGUGAUGGGAAAGGCGUAAAUUGUUACACAAUGAGACUACUCAAAACGCACAACAGAUUUCCAUGGGGAUACAUCCUCUCACUGCCAAUUUUGUUAAUGCCUCCUCGCCGAAGGUUUCCAUGAAAAGAGGAGGAUGGUCUAGCCCCCCGACGGGGUUUGUUAAACUUAACGUUGAUGCUUCUUUUGACCAUGACCUACUCAGGGGUACGAUGAGGGUGGACUUAAGAGAUCAUUAA
rnacentral:rRNA from 1 species